GCGAAGGUGGUGGGCGAGAGGUGGAAAACGCCCUUCUUCUGGGCACACACCUUGACUUCCGGCUAGGGUGAGGGUAGUGGUGGAGAGCGCCCUCGCUGGGUCUCCAGACAGUCGUCCCUGGAGGUCAUACAAUCUUCGCAAUGCGGGGCUUCAAUCACGGAAUCUGGAGUCCCCACCCUGUCCCUGACAAGGGGGUGGGUCAAAGGCUUCCCACCAGACACGCAUGAGUGUAUCCCGAUGCGCCCUCUGGCACUGCCCCAAACCGAGGGUCAGGCCCCAAGAAUUAAAGCGUCUUGGAAGAUGGCAGAAGCCCGCUAGAGGCAAAAAUCCACUUCCGGCCUGGCAAGGCCAGCUGGCCAGAGUUUCCAUCAGAACUGAGCCGAGUUCACAAGAGCUGCUAACGGACCAGACCCGAGAACAGGCAGCUCCAUCCCAGCAAGCCCGUCCUUGUCUCCUCGCAGGAAAAGUGCUCAGACCUGCCUGCAGGAGUCGGGGGAGAGAAGCCACUUGAAAGUGAAGAAAGGGAGUUAGUUACACCGCAGUGUCUGACGGAUGCCAGGGAAAACCCAGUCCCUGGGUAUUCUGAUGAACAAUAAAGAGCAGUCUAUGAUAGGGCUACUUUUCUAGCUAAGAUCUACAGUCUGUAAGAGGAAAGAAAUUUAAGGAAAGUUGAGAAAGAACUGGUGUGAUAAACAACAAGGAUUUACUGUGUCGUACAAAUGGCUCAGAGGUUAAAGCAUCUGCCUGGAAUGCAGGAGACCCGGCUCGAUCCCUGAGUUGGGAAGAUCCCCUGGACAAGGAAAUGGCAACCCACUCCAGUACUCUUGCCUGGAGAAUCCCAUGGAGGGAGGAGCCUGGCAGGCUACAGUCCAUGGGGUCGCAAAGAGUCGGACUCGACUGAGUGACUUGAGGACGACGAGGACGACAGGACCACGAGGACGACAGGAUCUAGAGAGGGAAGGGAUUGGGAACACCUGCUAACUGAGGAAUAUUUAGAUAAACUUGGAUAACCAUCCAGACGUUCCACAUGUUCAAGCUGGAUUUAGAAAAGGCAGAAGAACAAGAGCUCAAAUUGUCAACAUCCGCUGGAUCAUAGAAAAAGCAAGAGAGUUCCAGAAAAACAUCUACUUCUGCUUUAUUAACUACACCAAAGCCUUUGACUGUGUGAAUCACAACAAAC
ensembl:lncRNA